AGUAAUAUAUAGUUAAUGUACCUUCAAGACCGGGAUAGCCAUUGGAAACGAUGAUUAAUACUGGAUAUACCUGCUAAUCUUAAGAUUAGUUGGGAAAUGUUUUUUCGCUUGAAGAUCAGACUAUAUCCCAUCAGCUUGUUGGUGAGGUAAGAGCUCACCAAGGCAAUGACGGGUAGCGGGUUUGAGAGGAUGAUCCGCCACACUGGUACUGAGACACGGACCAGACUCC
rnacentral:rRNA from 1 species